rnacentral:lncRNA from 1 species
UUUACAUGGACUUGUUUAGCUUUGGUGACAACGGUUUUUAAAAUUUAUUUUCUGCAGAUUGAAUAUCCAGUUCAACUACUUAUCUGUUGCGUGCCGAUGAGAUGCAACCUUACUUAUUUCUGACUUACCAUAUCUGAAAUGAAGUCUAAAUAAAAAUAGACUUGGCUUCCAUUUGGAAGGGAGAGGAUCUUCACUGGAGCACGUUAGAGAGGGCUGGAGACUCCCAUUACUUAUUAGCAAUAGCUGCUGCUGACGUCGGGCAGCCAAACCUGGAGCCGGCCCUGGCCAAAGGGCUCCUGCCCCCACUCCCACACUCGGAAGAGGAAAUUUGCAUUUGGAAUGGCGGGUACCACUUGAAGGACAUU